rnacentral:rRNA from 1 species
GUUUGAUCCUGGCUCAGGAUGAACGCUAGCUACAGGCUUAACACAUGCAAGUCGAGGGGCAGCAUGGUCUUAGCUUGCUAAGGCCGAUGGCGACCGGCGCACGGGUGAGUAACACGUAUCCAACCUGCCGUCUACUCUUGGACAGCCUUCUGAAAGGAAGAUUAAUACAAGAUGGCAUCAUGAGUCCGCAUGUUCACAUGAUUAAAGGUAUUCCGGUAGACGAUGGGGAUGCGUUCCAUUAGAUAGUAGGCGGGGUAACGGCCCACCUAGUCUUCGAUGGAUAGGGGUUCUGAGAGGAAGGUCCCCCACAUUGGAACUGAGACACGGUCCAAACUCCUACGGGAGGCAGCAGUGAGGAAUAUUGGUCAAUGGGCGAGAGCCUGAACCAGCCAAGUAGCGUGAAGGAUGACUGCCCUAUGGGUUGUAAACUUCUUUUAUAAAGGAAUAAAGUCGGGUAUGCAUACCCGUUUGCAUGUACUUUAUGAAUAAGGAUCGGCUAACUCCGUGCCAGCAGCCGCGGUAAUACGGAGGAUCCGAGCGUUAUCCGGAUUUAUUGGGUUUAAAGGGAGCGUAGAUGGAUGUUUAAGUCAGUUGUGAAAGUUUGCGGCUCAACCGUAAAAUUGCAGUUGAUACUGGAUAUCUUGAGUGCAGUUGAGGCAGGCGGAAUUCGUGGUGUAGCGGUGAAAUGCUUAGAUAUCACGAAGAACUCCGAUUGCGAAGGCAGCUCACUGGACUGCAACUGACACUGAUGCUCGAAAGUGUGGGUAUCAAACAGGAUUAGAUACCCUGGUAGUCCACACGGUAAACGAUGAAUACUCGCUGUUUGCGAUAUACGGCAAGCGGCCAAGCGAAAGCGUUAAGUAUUCCACCUGGGGAGUACGCCGGCAACGGUGAAACUCAAAGGAAUUGACGGGGGCCCGCACAAGCGGAGGAACAUGUGGUUUAAUUCGAUGAUACGCGAGGAACCUUACCCGGGCUUGAAUUGCAGAGGAAGGAUUUGGAGACAAUGACGCCCUUCGGGGUCUCUGUGAAGGUGCUGCAUGGUUGUCGUCAGCUCGUGCCGUGAGGUGUCGGCUUAAGUGCCAUAACGAGCGCAACCCCUCUCCUUAGUUGCCAUCAGGUCAAGCUGGGCACUCUGGGGACACUGCCACCGUAAGGUGUGAGGAAGGUGGGGAUGACGUCAAAUCAGCACGGCCCUUACGUCCGGGGCUACACACGUGUUACAAUGGGGGGUACAGAGGGCCGCUACCACGCGAGUGGAUGCCAAUCCCCAAAACCUCUCUCAGUUCGGACUGGAGUCUGCAACCCGACUCCACGAAGCUGGAUUCGCUAGUAAUCGCGCAUCAGCCACGGCGCGGUGAAUACGUUCCCGGGCCUUGUACACACCGCCCGUCAAGCCAUGAAAGCCGGGGGCGCCUAAAGUCCGUGACCGUAAGGAGCGGCCUAGGGCGAAACUGGUAAUUGGGGCUAAGUCGUAACAAGGUAGCCGUACCGGAAGGUGCGGCUG